UGGCGGCGUGCUAAUACAUGCAGUCGAGCGGAUGUGAUGGGUAAGCCUUUGCUUCCCUUGAAAUUCAGCGGCGGAACGGGUGAAGUAACACGUGGGUAACCUUGCCUGUAAGAACUUGGGAUAACUUCCGGGAAACCGGGGCUAAUACCGGAUAGUUCUUUUCCUCGCAUGAGGAAAAGUGGAAAGGCGGCUUCGGCUGCCACUUACAGAUGGACCCGCGGCGCAUUAGCUAGUUGGUGAGGUAACGGCUCACCAAGGCAACGAUGCGUAGCCGACCUGAGAGGGUGAUCGGCCACACUGGGACUGAGACACGGCCCAGACUCCUACGGGAGGCAGCAGUAGGGAAUCUUCCGCAAUGGACGAAAGUCUGACGGAGCAACGCCGCGUGAGUGAUGAAGGUUUUCGGAUCGUAAAGCUCUGUUGUUAGGGAAGAACAAGUGCCGUUCGAAUAGGGCGGCACCUUGACGGUACCUAACCAGAAAGCCACGGCUAACUACGUGCCAGCAGCCGCGGUAAUACGUAGGUGGCAAGCGUUGUCCGGAAUUAUUGGGCGUAAAGCGCGCGCAGGCGGUCUCUUAAGUCUGAUGUGAAAGCCCACGGCUCAACCGUGGAGGGUCAUUGGAAACUGGGGGACUUGAGUACAGAAGAGGAAAGU
rnacentral:rRNA from 1 species